rnacentral:rRNA from 1 species
GACGAACGCUGGCGGCGUGCUUAACACAUGCAAGUCGAACGGAAAGGCCCUGCUUUUGUGGGGUGCUCGAGUGGCGAACGGGUGAGUAACACGUGAGUAACCUGCCCUUGACUUUGGGAUAACUUCAGGAAACUGGGGCUAAUACCGGAUAGGAGCUCCUGCUGCAUGGUGGGGGUUGGAAAGUUUCGGCGGUUGGGGAUGGACUCGCGGCUUAUCAGCUUGUUGGUGGGGUAGUGGCUUACCAAGGCUUUGACGGGUAGCCGGCCUGAGAGGGUGACCGGCCACAUUGGGACUGAGAUACGGCCCAGACUCCUACGGGAGGCAGCAGUGGGGAAUAUUGCACAAUGGGCGGAAGCCUGAUGCAGCAACGCCGCGUGCGGGAUGACGGCCUUCGGGUUGUAAACCGCUUUCGCCUGUGACGAAGCGUGAGUGACGGUAAUGGGUAAAGAAGCACCGGCUAACUACGUGCCAGCAGCCGCGGUGAUACGUAGGGUGCGAGCGUUGUCCGGAUUUAUUGGGCGUAAAGGGCUCGUAGGUGGUUGAUCGCGUCGGAAGUGUAAUCUUGGGGCUUAACCCUGAGCGUGCUUUCGAUACGGGUCGACUUGAGGAAGGUAGGGGAGAAUGGAAUUCCUGGUGGAGCGGUGGAAUGCGCAGAUAUCAGAAGGAACACCAGUGGCGAAGGCGGUUCUCUGGGCCUUUCCUGACGCUGAGGAGCGAAAGCGUGGGGAGCGAACAGGCUUAGAUACCCUGGUAGUCCACGCUGUAAACGGUGGGUACUAGGUGUGGGGUCCAUUCCACGGGUUCCGUGCCGUAGCUAACGCUUUAAGUACCCCGCCUGGGGAGUACGGCCGCAAGGCUAAAACUCAAAGGAAUUGACGGGGCCCCGCACAAGCGGCGGAGCAUGCGGAUUAAUUCGAUGCAACGCGUAGAACCUUACCUGGGUUUGACAUGGAUCGGGAGUGCUCAGAGAUGGGUGUGCCUCUUUUGGGGUCGGUUCACAGGUGGUGCAUGGCUGUCGUCAGCUCGUGUCGUGAGAUGUUGGGUUAAGUCCCGCAACGAGCGCAACCCUUGUUCACUGUUGCCAGCACGUUAUGGUGGGGACUCAGUGGAGACCGCCGGGGUCAACUCGGAGGAAGGUGGGGAUGACGUCAAGUCAUCAUGCCCCUUAUGUCCAGGGCUUCACGCAUGCUACAAUGGCUGGUACAGAGAGUGGCGAGCCUGUGAGGGUGAGCGAAUCUCGGAAAGCCGGUCUCAGUUCGGAUUGGGGUCUGCAACUCGACCUCAUGAAGUCGGAGUCGCUAGUAAUCGCAGAUCAGCAACGCUGCGGUGAAUACGUUCCCGGG